rfam:Danio rerio chromosome 5, GRCz11 reference primary assembly.
UCCUCGUUAGUAUAGUGGACAGUAUCUCCGCCUGUCACGCGGAAGACUGGGGUUCGAUUCCCUGACGGGGAG